CCCAAGCUGAAAGUUUUUGCAGAGGGUUUGACUAUCCCACGUGUGCACCAAGAAAACCAAACUUUAGAGAAGCAAAUUCCAUCCACAGAUGACAAAGAUAUGCUGAACAGACAAAAACUAAGUAUCGUCAUUAAAGUGUUCAUCGCUUGCAUCCUGUUAGCCUUCGCAAUACCCUAUAUUGUGUUUGUUAUAUAUGAAAUUCCCUGCCCGCGCUUGUGCCCUGCCUGGAUCCACAGCAUAUGGAGCAGCAGAAGAAGCCUGUCUGCAACCUGUGUCUCAGUGCAUGACAAAACAGCAACACUUUUAAUCUCGUUUCUGAAGGGCACAGAACAGAAGCCUCUGGAAGCUUUUGUCUGACCCUCUGCCUCCAUUCCCCAGACAGAUGCAUGCUAGCAAGACCCUUACACACGAAGAUCCAAAGUCAUUGUCAUUCCUGAAACCUACCCAUGAAAAGCUGCAGGCCUCAGACGAACACCUUUUUUACCUGCAAAGAUGCAUCACCUUUCCCUCACCACUUACUGGAAACAGCAGAAACCAACUGCUAAGAAGACACCCAUACUCUGAUUCUUUCCAUUAACUACCCAGCUUCUUAUUUUAAUUCCCAGAUACAGGAAAAACCUGUUAGGAUAAGCAAUAAAUAUUUCAUUGGCAUUCCAAACUCUGCCUCUCUCAAAUUCUUAAUUUUUUCCCAUAAUUUUUCACAUGCGUUUGGGACCUGGGCAAAAGGAAAAGGAAAUAAUUUCCAGU